rnacentral:rRNA from 1 species
UACGGAGGGUGCGAGCGUUGUCCGGAAUCAUUGGGCGUAAAGGGCGCGUAGGUGGCCCGGUCAGUUCGUGGUGAAAGCGCGGGGCUCAACCCUGCGUCGGCCAUGAAUACUGCCGCGGCUGGAGCACUGUAGAGGCAGGCGGAAUUCCGGGUGUAGCGGUGGAAUGCGUAGAGAUCCGGAAGAACACCGGUGGCGAAGGCGGCCUGCUGGGCAGUUUAGCUGACACUGAGGCGCGACAGCGUGGGGAGCAAACAGG